AGAAUGUGAAGAAGAAUGUUGAGUAUGUGUUGGCUGUGUGCAGGAUUAAUUCUACAGCAGCCAUAUGUUGUCUUCUUCACGAAAAAGAUCCUAUUUGAACAGCAUACACAAUCAAAUGCUUUAUAGUGGGCAUGGAUGAAGACGCCGUCAAC